UGAUGUGUCAAGUUGUGGA
rnacentral:siRNA from 1 species